UACGGAGGAGGCAAGCGUUAUCCGGAAUUAUUGGGCGUAAAGCGUCCGCAGGUGGCACUUCAAGUCUGUCGUCAAAGCACAAGGCUUAACCUUGUAAAGGCCGUGGAAACUGAAGAGGCUAGAGUGCGGUAGGGGUAGAGGGGAUUCCCAGUGUAGCGGUGAAAUGCGUAGAGAUUGGGAAGAACACCGGUGGCGAAAGCGCUCUACUGGGCCUGCACUGACACUGAGGGACGAAAGCUAGGGGAGCGAAAGGG
rnacentral:rRNA from 1 species